AGUUUGAUCCUGGCUCAGGAUGAACGCUGGCGGCAUGCCUAAUACAUGCAAGUCGAACGGAGUGAAGCCUUCGGGUUUCAUUCAGUGGCGAACGGGUGAGUAAUACGCAGGGAACCUGGCCAUGGCAGGGGGAUACACUCUGGAAACGGAGCAUAAGACCCCAUAGGCAGUAAGGCGGCAUCGCCUUACUGUUAAAGAAAGCUGAAAGGCUUUGGCGAUGGAUGGACCUGCGGUGCAUUAGCUUGUUGGUGAGCCAACGGCUUACCAAGGCGAUGAUGCAUAGCCGGCCUGAGAGGGCGGACGGCCACACUGGGACUGAGACACGGCCCAGACUCCUGCGGGAGGCAGCAGUAGGGAAUUUUCGUCAAUGGGCGCAAGCCUGAACGAGCAAUGCCGCGUGAGUGAGGAAGGUCUUCGGACUGUAAAGCUCUGUUGCCGGGGAAAAAGGGGAAAUGCAGGAAAUGGCAUUUCAUGGAUGGUACCCGGCCAGAAAGCCACGGCUAACUACGUGCCAGCAGCCGCGGUAAUACGUAGCUGGCGAGCGUUAUCCGGAAUGAUUGGGCGUAAAGGGUGCGCAGGCGGUCUGUUAAGUCUGAAGGCAAAGGGAUGAGCUCAACUCAUUUAUGAUUCAGAAACUGGCAGACUUGAGGACAGGAGAGGGCGGUGGAACUCCAUGUGUAGCGGUAAAAUGCGCAGAGAUAUGGAAGAACACCAGUGGCGAAGGCGGCCGCCUGGCCUGUGACUGACGCUGAGGCACGAAAGCGUGGGGAGCAAAUAGGAUUAGAUACCCUAGUAGUCCACGCCGUAAACGAUGAGGAGCAGGUGUUGGGAGUGAAAUCUCAGUGCCGAAGCCAACGCAGUGACUCCUCCGCCUGGGGAGUAUGCACGCAAGUGUGAAACUCAAAGGAAUUGACGGGGGCCCGCACAAGCGGUGGAGUAUGUGGUUUAAUUCGAAGCAACGCGAAGAACCUUACCAGGUUUUGACAUCGGAUGCGAAGGCGCAGAGAUGCGCUGGAGGCUAUCAUCCAGACAGGUGGUGCAUGGUUGUCGUCAGCUCGUGUCGUGAGAUGUUCAGUUAAGUCUGGCAACGAGCGCAACCCCCGUGGUAUGUUACUAACGCAUUUGGGCGAGGACUCAUAUCAGACUGCCGGUGACAAACCGGAGGAAGGCGGGGAUGACGUCAAAUCAUCAUGCCCCUUAUGACCUGGGCUACACACGUACUACAAUGGCGUCUACAGAGGGAAGCGACCCUGAGAAGGGAAGCGAAACCGGAAAAGGGCGUCCCAGUUCGGAUUGAAGUCUGCAACCCGACUUCAUGAAGAUGGAAUCGCUAGUAAUCGCGGAUCAGCAUGCCGCGGUGAAUACGUUCCCGGGCCUUGUACACACCGCCCGUCAAACCAUGGAAGCCGGCAACGCCCGAAGCCGGUGGCAUAACCUUUUAGGAGUGAGCCGUCGAAGGCGGGGCCGAUGACUGGGGUUAAGUCGUAACAAGGUACCC
rnacentral:rRNA from 1 species